rnacentral:rRNA from 1 species
AUGAACGCUAGCUACAGGCUUAACACAUGCAAGUCGAGGGGCAGCAUGGUCUUAGCUUGCUAAGACUGAUGGCGACCGGCGCACGGGUGAGUAACACGUAUCCAACCUGCCGUCUACUCUUGGACAGCCUUCUGAAAGGAAGAUUAAUACAAGAUGGCAUCAUGAGUCCGCAUGUUCACAUGAUUAAAGGUAUUCCAGUAGACGAUGGGGAUGCGUUCCAUUAGAUAGUAGGCGGGGUAACGGCCCACCUAGUCUUCGAUGGAUAGGGGUUCUGAGAGGAAGGUCCCCCACAUUGGAACUGAGACACGGUCCAAACUCCUACGGGAGGCAGCAGUGAGGAAUAUUGGUCAAUGGGCGAGAGCCUGAACCAGCCAAGUAGCGUGAAGGAUGACUGCCCUAUGGGUUGUAAACUUCUUUUAUAAAGGAAUAAAGUCGGGUAUGGAUACCCGUUUGCAUGUACUUUAUGAAUAAGGAUCGGCUAACUCCGUGCCAGCAGCCGCGGUAAUACGGAGGAUCCGAGCGUUAUCCGGAUUUAUUGGGUUUAAAGGGAGCGUAGAUGGAUGUUUAAGUCAGUUGUGAAAGUUUGCGGCUCAACCGUAAAAUUGCAGUUGAUACUGGAUAUCUUGAGUGCAGUUGAGGCAGGCGGAAUUCGUGGUGUAGCGGUGAAAUGCUUAGAUAUCACGAAGAACUCCGAUUGCGAAGGCAGCCUGCUAAGCUGCAACUGACAUUGAGGCUCGAAAGUGUGGGUAUCAAACAGGAUUAGAUACCCUGGUAGUCCACACGGUAAACGAUGAAUACUCGCUGUUUGCGAUAUACGGCAAGCGGCCAAGCGAAAGCGUUAAGUAUUCCACCUGGGGAGUACGCCGGCAACGGUGAAACUCAAAGGAAUUGACGGGGGCCCGCACAAGCGGAGGAACAUGUGGUUUAAUUCGAUGAUACGCGAGGAACCUUACCCGGGCUUAAAUUGCAGAUGAAUUACGGUGAAAGCCGUAAGCCGCAAGGCAUCUGUGAAGGUGCUGCAUGGUUGUCGUCAGCUCGUGCCGUGAGGUGUCGGCUUAAGUGCCAUAACGAGCGCAACCCUUGUUGUCAGUUACUAACAGGUUCCGCUGAGGACUCUGACAAGACUGCCAUCGUAAGAUGUGAGGAAGGUGGGGAUGACGUCAAAUCAGCACGGCCCUUACGUCCGGGGCUACACACGUGUUACAAUGGGGGGUACAGAGGGCCGCUACCACGCGAGUGGAUGCCAAUCCCCAAAACCUCUCUCAGUUCGGACUGGAGUCUGCAACCCGACUCCACGAAGCUGGAUUCGCUAGUAAUCGCGCAUCAGCCACGGCGCGGUGAAUACGUUCCCGGGCCUUGUACACACCGCCCGUCAAGCCAUGGGAGCCGGGGGUACCUGAAGUGCGUAACCGCGAGGAGCGCCCUAGGGUAAAACUGGUGACUGGGGCU